GCAGACUCGGUCCCCAGGGCUCCCGGCUGGCGGGAGGGGCGGCGGGAGGAAGCGGCGGCGCCCCUGAGCGCCCUCUAACGAAGGCGCGGCGCCGCCCGCUCCACGGACCCCCCGGGCCGCCGUUCAGGGCGCCCCGGCCGCCCGGCCUAGGCCCGGACCUCGCCGAGCCCCGAGUCGGGGGCAGAAGGCUGCACCGAAAGGUCUGGAGAGAAGGCCGGCCCUCCACGCGCACCGGGCCCGCUUGGACCCCUUUCAGCCGAAAGGACCGCGCGGCAUUGUUGAGGCUCCUUGGCUGCCCAGGCUGGCACGCUUUCUCCUUUUCGUUCCUAAAGAAACCCGCUUGCGCUCAGGGCUUUUCUUCGGAUCCUCCCCAAGGCACCAAGAUAUUGGACCUUUAAAUAUAAACCUAAAGAGAGAAGUGUAAUCACAUGUAUUGAAGAUGACUGUUCAAAUUGUGCCAUUAUAUCCUUAAGGAAGAUAGGUGUGAAUUCUUCUGUCUAGAGCACAAGACCAUUACUUCAGGAAUGCUCCACUGGGAUGCUGAAGGAAGCGUCUUUUUAUCCACAACAAAAGGAUGUGCGGAUCUCACUAUGUAGCCCUGGCUAUCCUAGAACUCACUAUGUAGAACAGGCUGGCCUGGAACUCAUGGAGAUCCACCUCUCUCUGCCUCCCAAGUUCUAGGAUUAAAGGUAUGUGCCACCACAUUCAGCUAACACAUAUUUUUUUUCUAUUGUAUAGUCUUAGCAAGCUGCUCAACCCAACGGAUCACAGCUAUGAGGGGAACUCUAAACCCUGAAUCUGUCCAUUGGUUGUGUCUUUCCUGUGCCAGCGCUGUGCUGCUUUGAAUAUUGUUGCUUUGCAGUAUGUUUACUAGUAGAACCUAUGCAUCUUAUAUUUUUUUGAAUGAGUUGUUUUUAUUUUAUGUGCAUUGGUGUUUUGGCUUUGUGUGUGUCUAUGUAAAGGUGUCAGAUCCCUUAGAACUGGAGUUACAGACAGUUGUGAACUGCCAUGUGGGCGCUGGGAAUUGAAUUUGGGUCCUCUGAAAGGGCAGCCAGUGUUCUUUGUCCCCCAUUUUAUUUUAUCAAGAUUAUUUUAGCUAUUCUUAAUGCCUUGAAUUCUCAUAUGUAUUUUAUAAUCAGAUUAUUGGUUUUUGCAAAAAAAGCCAAAUGAAAUUAUGAUUAAGAUUAGAAUGGUAGUAUUUUAUGUAUUCAGAGAAAAGCUUCUGUGUGUUUUUAUUUAAUAUAUGUAUAUGUGUGUAUGUGUAUAUAUAUAUAUAUUUUAUUGAGACAAGGUUUCUCUGUGUAGCCCUGGCUGUCCUGGAACUCACUGUAGACCAGGCUGGCCUCAAACUCAGAAAUCUGCCUGCCUUUGCUUCUUAAGUACUGAAAUUAAAGGCAUGUGCCACCACUGCUCAGUGAUUUCUAAAUAUUUUAUUUUUAUGCUAUUGUUAAUAUAAUUGUUUACCAGUUUUAUUUAUAAUUGAUUUUUAAAAUAUUAAUCAUUUAUGCUCCAACUUUGCUGAACUCAGCUAUAAGUUCUAGUAAUUUCUCUUGGGCUAAUCUGUAUGUCAAAUCAUGUUACAUGUACCCUGAAGGUUCUUAAGAAUGAUAACAACUGCCCCAGGGUGGUGGGGGCAUGUGCAGAGCUGCACUAGAGGUGGUGGGGGCAUGUGCAAAGUUGCACUGGAGGUGGUGGGGGCAUGUGCAAAGUUGCACUGGAGGUGGUGGGGGCGUGUGCAAAGUUGCACUGGAGGUGGUGGGGGCAUGUGCAAAGUUGCACUGGAGGUGGCCCUUUCAGAAUGGUGCAGUUUCUUGCUGAAAGCUGUUCACUACUCUCAUUAGAAAUCUGAAUCACCUGAGUCCUAGGGCUGAGAAAGAGCAAAGGUUUAAAACAUUUGCUUAAUGCACAGGUUUGCUAAUUUUUUACAUUACCUCUCAACUGGAUAUAAAUGAAAAUAUAUUUUUACUUUUUAUUUCAAGCGUGCACUCAGCAGUUGGUGUAAACACAAAUUACAGUUCUACAGUUCUGCCACUCAGUGUUCAUGUGCUUCAGGCAGAAGGCAGCCUUUCAAGCUAAAGAUCUUGACCUUGGAAACUGGAAGAAAUCAGCCCAGCUCUGUCCCAGCUCACAACCUUCUAUAACUCCAUUUGCAGGGGAUCCAGUGCUUUCUUGGUUUCUGCAGGCACCAGGCAUGUACACAGUGUACAGACAUGCAUGCAAGACAAACACUCGUGCACAUAAAAAAAUAAAUAUAAAAAUAGACAAACAAACAAAUAAAAUCGCAGUAGAGACUAAUUAGUGAGACAAAUGCCUGCCUAACUUACUUCACAGGGUUACUGUUGAGGGUGCAGUGAGCUACGGCUUUAGGCUGACUGCUGUGGAAUGGCUGUCUCUGCAGAUGCCUCAGAAGAGUUGCAUUUCAGGCAGGACUGGCUGAGCUGUACCUUAAGGCAAUGCCUUAACUGCAGUCAAGCAAUUACUUGUUUUUAUCAGGGACAGUUUAUUGCUACUAAUCUCAAUUCUUUGACUCUAUUUUGAUUCUUUAAACUUUUCUUAAGGUAUGAAUUUUAUAUCAAAAUUUAUAAGAUUAAUAUAUAUGUUUUAAACUUUUGUUAAUGGUCAUAUAGAGUACUAAAUAAUUCUAGAAAAAAGGCUUCAAUUAGCUGCCUAUACAUGUUUUUGUGUUAGAGUCUCUAUCAGUUUUCUGCAGGGAAUCAUCACCAGGCCUAACAUCGAAUUUGAAAUCUCCAGAAAGAUGGUGGGGCCCCACAACGAUUCCACGUGGACAAUAAUAAUACCACUAAGCUGACAAACAUCACCCACAGAUCAGCUUUGGACUACAAACUGCUCAGAACAAUUUUGAGAUGGCUAGCUGAGAUAAUCCAGUUUCACAGACUACUUGAACAAGGACUUGAGAUAAGCCCUGAACAUUGGCAUUAAGCAUAGACUGGACAACAAAUGAUAAAGCUACCUUUCCUAGAACUUGACAAUUAACCCAAAAUUUUUCUUUUUAGAAUAAAGAUGCCUUUGCCCACAACCAGCAGGAAGCAAUUUUAAGAGCAUGACACCCACAUUCCCAAAGAGGUGGUAUGGGGAGGGUGGUUUUUGGUCGUUAAAUGGGUUUUGGGUUUGGGAUAAUUUUCAUUGUUUAGGAGGGUUGGUUACAAGUUGCUAAUGGUUAGGAAAAGGGCUAAGCAAAGGAGAUUAGAUUUAAGGUUGUUGUUUGAAAAAAAAAAGAUACAUAGAAAUGUGAGGUGGGUAGCCAUUCCAGCUUUGAUCUGGAAGUUCCAACCCCCACUGAGGCUUCCAUAACUGUCACGCCUACAAGGUGGGGCCGAGAGGACCCUGAAGACCCGAGAUCCAGAUGCACCGACUCGCUUGGUUCCUGGACCCUGGACCCUGGACGCUGGAGGUAGACCAAGCAGAGUUCUCCAGAGAACACCGCCGGACUGCACUACACCUUUCCCAGACCCUGUUACCUAUCCCUUCACUUGUCUAGGUUCCAGAGGUUCAGUGAGUGUGGCCUGAAGAAGUGAGAAGAUGAAAUGUGGACUCAGCAUGGACCAGCCAGUGAGGACCCUCCUGGGCCGGCAAGUGCUGAGGAGACAGCGCCUUGUGUUGGAGCCAGAGCACUGCCGCACUGCCUUGUGGGAAGGAAAAGCGCCUGUAACCUUGGAGACACAGCGAUGGCAGGGCAAAUGUCCCCUAGGGAGGUCAGCACAGCACCAGGUGCACUUGUUGCUUCACUGGCCAGGACACUGGUGAGCUCCCAGCAGCCUCUCAGCAAGUGCCAAGUGCAGGAAUGUGUCCUGGAGGACUCCCGACGUGCAGCCCGGACAGCUAGACAGCUGCCUCUCUCUGAUAGUUGAGUAAAUUCCUUUCUGGACUGUCCAUGCCAAAGGUCGUUUGAGUCAAAUCUAAAGCCCAGUGUUGAACUGUGUCACUGAUAGAGAUGGUGACCACAGGCCACAGGAGACAAGGACAGGGCAGAAAAGUAAUUCCCAUUUGAGAAGUUCCCUGCCGGAGAAGGAAUGCAAGGAGGGUUUUUAUCUAAAGCUUUGUAAGACCAAAACAAAUCUCUCUUUCUUUCUCUGUCUCAUUCACACACACAAACACCAAUGUACACACACUUCACUCACAUACAGUGUCACACAUACAUAUAUACUUACACACAUAUGCAUACACGCACAUUCUCACACACUCUCACACACACCUAAGAAUGACUGCCCGGUGUGUGUAGUCUGGUGCUAGUAGGUUUGAAAAGAAAGGCCUUUGUUUCAUAGGCUUUCAGAUCGGGAAGGCAAAUGAUAACUGCCAUUAAAAGAAGCACUGGGGAGAUGGUAAACCGAAAAAGGCACUUGCCACGAUAGCUGAGGAGUCUGACCCCAGCCAGAGAGAGAGAAAGAGAGAGAGAGAGAGAGAGAGAGAGAGAGAGAGAGAGAGAGAGAGAGAGAGAGAGAAAAGCCAUCCUCUGACCUCCACAGCAUGCUGUGUGCUAUGCACCUUGCCCCCACAUCACACAAACACGUGAUAAAUAAAAUUUAAAAAUUUAAUGAUGGAAAAUCCCAGGCUGAGAGAUGGCCCAGCGGCCAAAGUGCUUGCUGCGUCACAGAUCAGAGCACCUGGAUUCAGCUCUCCAGCACCCUGUGAAAGCUGAGCUUGGCAACCAGACAUCUGUCAUUCUGGGGCUUGGGACAGAGGCAGGUGGAUCCUGUAGGCUCACUGACCCGAGAAUCUUCCCAAACUGUGAGCUCCAGGCUCAGUGAGAGGCUCUGCUUCAAACACUACGAAGCAUGGGGUAAGACAUCACCUCGGGCUUCCACAUGCAUGCCCGCAGUUUGUGCACCUGCACCCACACAUGCACAUACAUGCAUACACUCUUUCCCCACAACUUACUAAAGAAAACCAGCAUAUUCACUGUGUCAGAGUGGAAAAACAUUAAAAUAGAGUUGGGAAGGAAAUGAAUUGGUUUAAUCGUUCAUGUGUUCGCUCAGUCAAGCCUUCCACAGAUGUUUCUUAGGAACAACCAUGCUAUCCACUAUAGUAGAACCAGAGACACAAAACCAAGGAAGACACAGGACUCCAGACUCUCCGAUAGACAUGGGAUUAGGCGUCUAGGCAAAUGAACGUUGGACUGCAACACGAGGACUCGCCCAGACAUUGGUACAAGGUUCUUGGUGACACUAGCCAGCUGGAGGAUCUGUGGCCAGAGGUCAAGAGGAGCUGUAGAGGGGAUGGUGAGAUGAGAAUUCUGACUGCUGGGCCUGUGCUGAGCAGAAAUGGAGACUGAAGGUGUAGAAGGCAGUACUGGGGUCGCUGCCAGAGUCUGAGCCCAGCCGUCCAAGGACUGCUUCUGUGGACUGCUUUAGAGAGGCGCCCACCCGCCUUCCUAUGGAGCAGAGGUAAUGGAGGGCUGCUGGACUCCACAAGCGAAUCCCAGCACACCUUCAGCAGAGCACUGGGUCUAAAGCUGCAUUGAAGAGGCAGAGAGCAGCUUCCACCACACCUCCCUUGGGGACAAGUCCCCAAAGCUGCCACAGGGCAGACAGGGAGGAGCCGAGGGCCCUGAGCUGGUCUUUUCAGGCAAACACAUUAGAAGCCUCUCCUUAGUGAACAGGGGCCAGACACUGUCAGUGAGAAUUUCAUUACAAUCCAGUCACACAGGCUCCCCUCAGUCAAAGAGCCACUGAUGUAAAGAUACAGGACUGCCUCUUAAUGCCAGGGGGCAGGAAGGUGUCGGAUUCCAGAAACAAUGAAAACCAGGGAAGUGGGCAGCUCACCAGUCCCAGCCUCUCUCAAUCUCAGCUUAUCUCCGGGCAUCUGCUUUUCUUCCUUCCCUCUGCCCCCUCUGUCACAGCACAGCAGGCUAGGCCACCCACUGUUUCCACAUUACAGCUCCCAUGCUGUGGAAAGCCUAGGACUCUCUUUGAACACAAUUUCAUGUGUGAUCUCUGACUCAGCUGAGGGCAAGAGAACAGGGGUCAUGCUGAACAGGUGGCUGAUAGGAACUACCACUGUGGGCAAGGUGCAGGGGUAAGGCACCACAGAAGACCUCAGCCACAGCUCUUCCUAUCUUUGGACCCUGGUCUCGGGAGAGAAGUCACUGCUGUGCUGGAAAGCUCAACUCGUAAGACUGGCAUGUAGCUCUCAUCCCCCAGACGAGCUGCACACUGUCACAGGCUCUGUCAAGUCCUGGACCAACUUCCAAGGAUGCUAAGGCUAUGGAGUCCUCUGGUAGACAUUUGGGAAUCUUUGGCACUAAUCAUCUUCCAGGGAUGUUGCUGCUGUGGUGUGCUGAUAUGCCCCCUUCAUCAACACUGAAGCCUUCGUUCAUGCACCUGUUUGGAGGUACUGGCUGCUGACAGUCACAGGUGAAACACUUUUCUGUCAUCUCCAGGAGGUAAAGUGUGUGCAGUCUCUGCCUGAUGAGGACUUCUCAGGACUCAGCCCCCUGGUCUCAGGUGGGACACUUCCAAAGAACUGUCUUAUGAGAUUCACCUGAGACCUUUGUUGCCUCUCAGUGGAACUCAAUCCCUCCCCUGUCCCUCUAGUCCUUUGUAACAGUCCCAAGGGCAUGCCUAAUACUUCCUGCACUCAAUUUCCAUGAGUGUUUUCUAGGGGACUGACCACAGUGGCCUUGUCUUGGAUUGAAUUGAUAGCAUAGCCUCUUGGGAUCUUUCCUACUGUGGUGGCUUGGAGGAAAAUGGCCCCCAAAGGGAGUGGCACUACUAGGAGGUGUGGCCUUGUUGGAGGAAGUGUGUCACUGUGUGGGUGGGUGUUGAGGUCUCUUUUGCUCAAGCUUCCCUCAGUGUGUCUGUCAGUCGAUUGCCUGUUGCCUGCAAGAUGUAGGACUCUCAGCUAUUCCUCCAGCACCACAUCUACCUGCACGCCACCAUACUCCCCAUCAUGAUGACAAGGAAUUAAACCUCUGAAACUAUAAGUCAGUCACCCAAUUAAAUGUUUUCUUUAUAAGAGUUGCCAUGAUCAUGGUGUCUCUUCACAGCAAUAAAAACCCUGACUAACACAUCUAC